rnacentral:tRNA from 1 species
CCCCGGCUAGCUCUGUUGGUAGAGCAUGAGACUCAGAAUCUCAGGGUAGUGGGUUCGUGACCCACGCUGGGCG